rnacentral:rRNA from 1 species
UACAGAGGGUGCGAGCGUUGUCCGGAAUCACUGGGCGUAAAGGGCGCGUAGGCGGCUUGAUAAGGUUGCGGUGAAAGCCCGGGGCUCAACCCCGGGUCGGCCGUGGCAACUGUCAAGCUGGAGCACUGUAGAGGCAGGUGGAAUUCCGGGUGUAGCGGUGGAAUGCGUAGAGAUCCGGAAGAACACCGGUGGCGAAGGCGGCCUGCUGGGCAGUGGCUGACGCUGAGGCGCGACAGCGUGGGGAGCAAACAGG